CGCUUUCUAAAUCGGUGCCAAGAUUUCGUCAGAUAUCAACCCACUAGGGCUGAUGAGAUUUCCAAGUAAAGUG
rnacentral:pre_miRNA from 1 species